AAAGGAAGGAGGGGGACCUCAUGCGGCAGCCGUGCUGUGAGUGCUGUGAAGGAAACUCAGGGAAUGUACCAUAAAGGCUCCAUUAUCAACGCUAGCUCUACCUCCAUGAUCCUGCCCAUUUUCCACCCAUAGAAUGUGGCGAUCCUCAUCAGGUACUACCAAAAAUAGUGGAAGGGAUGGGCUAAAUCAUGACCUGGCCAGAGAGCCAAGUUACAGGAACAGAGACCUCCACAGCACCAGAGCGACUGCCAGACAGGAGAGAAAGGCUACGCCACAUCUAGCCACAAAGUGAUGAUCUAACCACUUCCUCCAAGUUCCUAUUAAAGCCCAAAGGAUACUCACAUUUUUCUUCACUUCUCAUCUCCUGCAAAAGCACUGUUUCUACCACCAACUUGCCAGCUAAAGAGGACUGGAUGGGGCUUGUUCAGAGGCAAUACUUUCUAGACUCAGGAUGCAAGAGCAAUAGGAGGCAGACCCAGCCCCGAAGGCAAUGUGUUGAUGAGUAUUUA